CGGCAGGCUUAAUUCAUGCAAGUCGAACGGUAGCAGGAGGAAGCUUGCUUUCUUGCUGACGAGUGGCGGACGGGUGACUAAUGCUUGGGAAUCUGGCUUAUGGAGGGGGAUAACUACUGGAAACGGUAGCUAAUACCGCGUAAUAUCGAAACAUUAAAGGGUGGGACUUUCGGGCCACCUGCCAUAAGAUGAGCCCAAGUGGGAUUAGGUAGUUGGUGGGGUAAAGGCCUACCAAGCCUGCGAUCUAUAGCUGGUCUGAGAGGAUGGCCAGCCACACUGGAACUGAGACACGGUCCAGACUCCUACGGGAGGCAGCAGUGGGGAAUAUUGCACAAUGGGGGGAACCCUGAUGCAGCCAUGCCGCGUGAAUGAAGAAGGCUUUCGGGUUGUAAAGUUCUUUCAGUGAUGAGGAAGGCAGGUAUUUUAAUACAAUACUUGAUUGACGUUAGUCACACAAGAAGCACCGGCUAACUCCGUGCCAGCAGCCGCGGUAAUACGGAGGGUGCGAGCGUUAAUCGGAAUAACUGGGCGUAAAGGGCACGCAGGCGGAUUGUUAAGUUAUAUGUGAAAGCCCCGAGCUUAACUAGGGAAUUGCAUUUCAGACUGGCAGUCUAGAGUAUUUUAGGGAGGGGUAGAAUUCCACGUGUAGCGGUGAAAUGCGUAGAGAUGUGGAGGAACACCGAAGGCGAAGGCAGCCCCUUGGGAAUAUACUGA
rnacentral:rRNA from 1 species